rnacentral:rRNA from 2 species
UGGGGAAUAUUGGGCAAUGGGCGCAAGCCUGACCCAGCAACGCCGCGUGAAGGAAGAAGGCCUUCGGGUUGUAAACUUCUUUUGGCAGGGACGAAUAAAAUGACGGUACCUGCAGAAUAAGCCACGGCUAACUACGUGCCAGCAGCCGCGGUAAUACGUAGGUGGCAAGCGUUGUCCGGAUUUACUGGGUGUAAAGGGCGCGUAGGCGGGAAAGCAAGUCAGGUGUGAAAUCUAUGGGCUCAACCCAUAAACUGCACUUGAAACUGUUUUUCUUGAGUGUCGGAGAGGUAGAUGGAAUUCCUAGUGUAGCGGUGAAAUGCGUAGAUAUUAGGAGGAACACCAGUGGCGAAGGCGAUCUACUGGACGAUAACUGACGCUGAGGCGCGAAAGCGUGGGGAGCAAACAGG